UGUUAGGAGGAAGAGAGAAUUUUAGUCUAAGGGUAAUUAAGUCUUCUAACAUCAAUUUUGGUUAAUUUUAUAAGAAAUAAGAAAACCAGGUUAUAUUUCAAUAAGUGCUCUUUAAAAUGGUUAUAUUUCAAUAAGUGCUCUUUAAUAUGGAGAUGAGAUAAAUUUGAACUUAUUACCUAUUUUGGGCACUCUUGACUCGGUUGAUGGAUGAUUCUCCAUUACUCGCGUGUAGGAAACCCGGUGUGCCUUGAGGGCAAUUUUGUCAUCUUCACCCAAAAAUCCACGUGUUGCCUUGUGA
rnacentral:lncRNA from 1 species